GAGAGAAGCCAAUCCAUGUGCAAAAUCAACUAACGAGAGUGAGGCAUGUGAGUAGGUGGGGUUAGGGUGGUGGGAUGGUACCUUGCACGUGGUAAGUGGACCUAAUUUUGAAGUGCUUCAAUGCCCCCAUGGAUCUUGGCUUAAACUUAAGCUUCCAAACAAUUAGUACUUGUCACUGAACCCUGUUUCUUGGUUCUUCUUAGCUGGCUACAAUUAAUUAACACACAUAUAGAGAGAGAGAUAUAUGAACAUCCCUCAACUGAAUUGAUAUGCCAAAAGAGCAUCAAAG
rnacentral:lncRNA from 1 species